AUAUCUCUCUGUACGGGAAGGAUGAGAAGCUUCGACUAAGGUUCGAUUCGAGCGAAAGCGAGAAAGCGUUGCAGCAGGCAACGACCCGAAGGGCGAAGCGCGCAGCGCUGAGUCAUCCUUCCCCCACCACCA
rnacentral:sRNA from 1 species